GACGAACGCUGGCGGCGUGCUUAACACAUGCAAGUCGAACGGAAAGGCCCUGCUUUUGUGGGGUGCUCGAGUGGCGAACGGGUGAGUAACACGUGAGUAACCUGCCCUUGACUGUGGGAUAACUUCAGGAAACUGGGGCUAAUACCGGAUAGGAGCUCCUGCUGCAUGGUGGGGGUUGGAAAGUUUCGGCGGUUGGGGAUGGACUCGCGGCUUAUCAGCUUGUUGGUGGGGUAGUGGCUUACCAAGGCUUUGACGGGUAGCCGGCCUGAGAGGGUGACCGGCCACAUUGAAACUGAGAUACGGCCCAGACUCCUACGGGAGGCAGCAGUGGGGAAUAUUGCGCAAUGGACGGAAGCCUGAUGCAGCCACGCCGCGUGCGGGAUGACGGCCUUCGGGUUUUAAACCGCUUUCGCCUGUGACGAAGCGUGAGUGACGGUAAUGGGUAAAGAAGCACCGGCUAACUACGUG
rnacentral:rRNA from 1 species